AGAGUUUGAUCAUGGCUCAGAACAAACGCUGGCGGCGUGCCUAAUACAUGCAAGUCUAACGGGUAGCAAUAUCAGUGGCGCACGGGUGAGGAAUAUAUGGGUAAUCUGCCCUCGAGUCGGGAUAACCAGUCGAAAGACUGGCUAAUACCGGAUAAGACCACAAGAUCUGCGGAUCUAGGGGUUAAAGGUUUUCGCUUGAGGAUGAGCCCAUACGGGAUUAGCUAGUUGGUGAGGUAAUGGCUCACCAAGGCUACGAUCCCUAACUGGUCUUAGAGGAUGAUCAGUCACACUGGAACUGAGACACGGUCCAGACUCCUACGGGAGGCAGCAGUAGGGAAUAUUGCACAAUGGGGGAAACCCUGAUGCAGCGACGCCGCGUGAGUGAUGAAGGCCUUCGGGUCGUAAAGCUCUGUCGUAUGGGACUAACACAAUGAAGGUACCAUGCAAGAAAGGAUCGGCUAACUUCGUG
rnacentral:rRNA from 1 species